UGUCUGUGCCAGUCCUUGCAGAUACUCAGAGCCUCCUCUCAUUCCAGCUCUUUGAGGCUCAGCGCUGCCAUAGGCAGCAGGAGCAACAUGCACAGGCAGAGGGAGGAGUCUGCUGUACUGGGCUCACUGCUCAGGGAUGAGUCCUGCAAGUCCAGAUCUCCUCCUGAGGCCCCAGAGAGCUCUUUCUCUGGGUGGAAGGACACAGGAAUUGUUUUUGCAGUGGAUUACCUUCACUACAUGCAGCAAACCCCAAAG